rnacentral:rRNA from 1 species
GUGCUAAGGUAGCAUAAUCAUUUGUCUUUUAAAUAAAGACUAGAACAAAAGAUUUAACAUUUUAAUAAAUAUUUUUUAAUUAAUAAUCAAAAUUAUUUUUAAUAUUAAAAAUUAUUAAUAUAUUAAAAAGACGACAAGACCCUAUUGAACUUAACUGUAGUUAAACUGGGGCAGUAAUUUAAUUAUUAUUUUAAUAAAAAUUACUAAUUAAAUAUCCAUUAUUAAUGAUAAUCAAGUUACCAUAGGGAUAACAGCGUAAUAAAUAUAUUAAGUUCUUAUAAAAAUAUUAGUUUACGACCUCGAUGUUGAAUUAAUUACCUAAUUAAUGCAAAAAUUAAAUAAGGAAGUCUGUUCGACUUUUAAAAAAUUACAUGAUUUGAGUUCAGACCGGUAUAAGCCAGGUCGGUUUCCAUCUUUUAAAUAAAAUUUUACAGUACGAAAGGACCUAAAAAUUUAAUUUUAUUAAAAAAUUGGCAGAAUAUUGCAUUAGAAUUAGAAUCUAAUUAACUAAU